rnacentral:rRNA from 1 species
AAGUCGUAACAAGGUUUCCGUAGGUGAACCUGCGGAAGGAUCAUUACAGUAUUAGUUUUUUUCCUUACCAGCGCUUAAUUGCGCGGUGGAAAAUAAAAACUUACACCCCAUGAUUUUUCUUUUUAUGGAACUAUUGCUUUGGCUUGGUCGAAAGAUUGGGCCAGAGAUUUAAGUAAAACUUCAAUUUUUAAUUGAAUUGUUAAAUUAAAUUAUAAGUCAAUUUGUUUGAUUAAAUUCAAAAAAAUUUAAAACUUUCAACAGUGGAUCUCUUGGUUCUCGCAUCGAUGAAGAACGCAGCGAAAUGCGAUAAGUAAUAUGAAUUGCAGAUUUUCGUGAAUCAUCGAAUCUUUGAACGCACAUUGCGCUCUUUGGUAUUCCAGAGAGCAUGCCUGUUUGAGCGUCAUUUCUCUCUCAAACCCUUGGGUUUGGUGUUGAGUGAUACGCUGAGGAAACUGAGCGUUUGCUUGAAAAAGAUUGGCAUGAGUGUACUAGAUAGUGCUCCUUGAUUUAUUCAAUGUAUUAGGUUUAUCCAACUCGUUGAACGGAAUCUUGGCGGUAAAUUUCCGGUGUUAUUGGCUCGGCCUAAUAACUUUUUAUAAGUUUGACCUCAAAUCAGGUAAGAAUACCCGCUGAACUUAA